GGACUACUGGGGUAUCUAAUCCUGUUUGCUCCCCACGCUGUCGCGCCUCAGCGUCAGCAACGGCCCAGCGGAACGCCUUCGCCACCGGUAUUCUUCCCGAUCUCUACGCAUUCCACCGCUACACCGGGAAUUCCAUCCGCCUCUACCGUGCUCGAGCCCACCAGUCUGACCGGCAGCCCCGGAGUUGAGCCCCGGGAUUUCACCAGCCACUUAGUGAGCCGCCUACGCGCCCUUUACGCCCAGUGAUUCCGGACAACGCUCGCACCCUCCGUAUUACCGCGGCUGCUGGCAC
rnacentral:rRNA from 1 species